rnacentral:misc_RNA from 1 species
GCCAGCUCGAAAUCACGCCUCGUUGUCAAUUCACCCACUGCCCUCUUUCUCUCUCACUUUCGUCAAUCUCUGAUUUGAUCAAUCACCAAUCGGUUUCAGUUUUUCAAAUUUGAUCGAAAAUGAAUUCAAAUCAUUUGCUUCUCGAGGAGCCUAUAAGGAUGGCUUCAAUUCUUGAGCCAUCAAAAUCAACUUUCUUUCCUGCGAUGACAAAGAUAGUUGGGACACUUGGUCCAAAAUCGCGUACUGUUGAGAUCAUUUCUGGUUGUUUGAACGCAGGGAUGUCUGUGGCACGGUUUGACUUUUCAUGGGGUGAUGCUGAAUAUCAUCAAGAGACAUUGGAUAAUCUGAAAGCAGCAGUCAAGAGCACCAAGAAGCUCUGUGCGGUCAUGCUGGAUACAGUGGGCCCGGAGUUGCAAGUAGUCAAUAGAGCAGAGCAUCCAAUUUCCCUUCAGGCAGAUACAUCUGUUGUCCUAACACCAGAUCAAGACAAAGAAGCCACUUCAAAUCUGCUACCUAUAAAUUUUACUGGCCUGUCAAAGGCAGUGAAGAAGGGAGAUACUAUUUUUAUUGGUCAAUACCUGUUUACAGGAAGUGAAACUACUACUGUGUGGCUAGAGGUCACUGAAAUAAAUGGUGAAGAUGUGGUUUGCCUGAUAAAGAAUUCUGCCACCUUGGGUGGGCAAUUGUACACAUUGCAUGUUUCUCAAAUUCGUAUUGACCUUCCUACCCUCACUGACAAAGAUAAGGAGGUCAUAAGCACAUGGGGUGUUCGGAACAAUAUAGACUUUCUCUCACUUUCAUAUACCCGCCAUGCAGAAGAUAUUCGCCAUGCCCGGGAUUUUCUUUCUAAACUUGGAGACCUCCGUCAAACUCAAAUUUUUGCGAAAUUUGAAAAUGCAGAGGGAUUAACUCAUUUUGAUGAAAUCCUACAAGAAGCAGAUGGUAUCAUAAUUUCUCGUGGAAAUUUGGGCAUAGAUGUCCCACCAGAGAAGGUAUUUCUAUUUCAAAAAGCUGCUGUUUACAAGUGCAACAUGGCCGGAAAGCCUGCUGUGGUUACUCGUGUUGUUGACAGUAUGACUGACAAUUUGAGACCUACUCGUGCUGAAGCAACUGAUAUUGCCAAUGCAGUUUUGGAUGGCAGUGAUGCAAUUCUUCUAGGUGCAGAGACCCUGCGGGGAUUGUACCCUGUUGAGACCAUUUCUGUUGUGGGAAGAAUCUGUGCUGAGGCAGAGAAAGUUUUCAAUCAAGAUCUGUAUUACAAGAAGACUUUAAAGCAUGUUGGAGAACCAAUGAGCCAUUUAGAAUCUAUCGCUUCGUCUGCGGUACGUGCAGCUAUCAAGGUGAAGGCUUCUGUCCUUCUAUGCUUCACUUCAACAGGAAGAGCUGCAAGGUUAAUCUCAAAGUACAGGCCAACAAUGCCUGUGAUAUCUGUUGUUAUCCCUCGGCUUAAGACAAAUCAACUGCGCUGGACCUUCUCUGGUGCUUUUGAGGCAAGGCAGUCUCUAAUUGUCAGAGGACUUUUUCCUAUCCUAGCAGAUCCUAGACAUCCAGCUGAAUCUACAAAUGCGACAAAUGAAUCAGUUCUGAAGGUUGCUUUAGAUCAUGGCAAGGCAAUUGGUGUUAUAAAGCCACAUGAUCGUGUUGUUGUUUGCCAGAAGCUUGGUGAUGCAUCUGUGGUAAAGAUCCUUGAGCUUGAAGAUUAAAGCAAACAGUCCUAAUUUUGUCGUACAAAUAAGGGAAACUAGAACACAACUGAGGAUUUCUGUGUUGUGCAUUAAAUGGUUGUAUGGAGGAUCAUAUCUUGCGUGUUUACUACAUGUUUAGCCAAAGAUGAGAACAUUUACAAGUAACAACUAAGGUCCAAGGAAACUACAUGUACAAGAACUUGGAACCACUUUGCUUUGAGGUUUUGGAUAAAAGAAUUGGUACUCAAUGUCAAGUUUGAUGUUUUGCAAUGACAGUGAACAUUGUACUGGGACAUCUCUGCCCCAACUCUUGAUCAAUACUAUCGGCUUUAUAUAAUGGUUUCCUCUAUAUGACAAGGGAACUGCUAGGAACUGCACUCACUUUCAUUAUUUUUACGUUCUAACCAAUGGGAAUUGGGAAGAGUGGAAAUUUUGAGGCCUUUUCCUCCAUUUGAAGCAAAAAGAAAGCAGGUCUUUUGCUUUUGCCAAUGAAUGUAAAGUUCAAUGAAAUGUGCAGAUACAGAUUUUAUCAAUUUUAGUAAAAUUUAAUUCAGGUAUAAACAGUUUCAAUUAAAAUAGAAUAAUUGUUGUCUG